rnacentral:rRNA from 1 species
GACGAACGCUGGCGGCGUGCUUAACACAUGCAAGUCGAACGGAAAGGCCCUGCUUUUGUGGGGUGCUCGAGUGGCGAACGGGUGAGUAACACGUGAGUAACCUUCCCUUGACUUUGGGAUAACUUCAGGAAACUGGGGCUAAUACCGGAUAGGAGCUCCUGCUUCAUGGUGGGGGUUGGAAAGUUUCGGCGGUUGGGGAUGGACUCGCGGCUUAUCAGCUUGUUGGUGGGGUAGUGGCUUACCAAGGCUUUGACGGGUAGCCGGCCUGAGAGGGUGACCGGCCACAUUGGGACUGAGAUACGGCCCAGACUCCUACGGGAGGCAGCAGUGGGGAAUAUUGCACAAUGGGCGGAAGCCUGAUGCAGCAACGCCGCGUGCGGGAUGACGGCCUUCGGGUUGUAAACCGCUUUCGCCUGUGACGAAGCGUGAGUGACGGUAAUGGGUAAAGAAGCACCGGCUAACUACGUG